rnacentral:rRNA from 1 species
AUUGAACGCUGGCGGCAUGCCUUACACAUGCAAGUCGAACGGUAACAGGUCUUCGGAUGCUGACGAGUGGCGAACGGGUGAGUAAUACAUCGGAACGUGCCUAGUAGUGGGGGAUAACUACUCGAAAGAGUGGCUAAUGCCGCAUGAGAUCUACGGAUGAAAGCAGGGGAUCGCAAGACCUUGUGCUACUAGAGCGGCCGAUGGCAGAUUAGGUAGUUGGUGGGAUAAAAGCUUACCAAGCAGACGAUCUGUAGCUGGUCUGAGAGGACGAUCAGCCACACUGGGACUGAGACACGGCCCAGACUCCUACGGGAGGCAGCAGUGGGGAAUUUUGGACAAUGGGCGCAAGCCUGAUCCAGCAAUGCCGCGUGCAGGAUGAAGGCCUUCGGGUUGUAAACUGCUUUUGUACGGAACGAAAAGCCCUGGGUUAAUACCCUGGGGUCAUGACGGUACCGUAAGAAUAAGCACCGGCUAACUACGUGCCAGCCGCCGCGGUAACAC